rnacentral:rRNA from 1 species
GAUGAACGCUGGCGGUAUGCCUAACACAUGCAAGUCGUACGAGAGUUUUUAACUCUAGUGGCGGACGGGUGGGUAACACGUGAGAAUUUGCCUUUAGGAGGGGGAUAACAAUUGGAAACGAAUGCUAAUACCCCAUAUGCUUUUGAGUGAAACGGAUUUUAUCCGCCUAGAGAGAAGCUCGCGGCUGAUUAGCUUGUUGGUAAGGUAAGAGCUUACCAAGGCGACGAUCAGUAUCUGGUUUGAGAGGACGAUCAGACACACUGGAACUGAGACACGGUCCAGACUCCUACGGGAGGCAGCAGUGGGGAAUUUUCCGCAAUGGGCGAAAGCCUGACGGAGCAAUACCGCGUGAGGGAAGAAUGCCUAUGGGUUGUAAACCUCUUUUUCAGGGAGGAAUAAAAUGACGUGUACCUGAAGAAUAAGCAUCGGCUAACUCCGUG